AUCCUCACUUUGGCAGCACAUACACUAAAACUGGAAAAAUACAGAGAAGACUAACAUGGCCCCUGCACAAGGAUGACACACAAAUUCGAGAAACUUAUUUUCUUCUC
ensembl:snRNA U6 U6 spliceosomal RNA